ensembl:lncRNA
UGAGAGGAAGAGAUGGACAGGCGGCUCAGAUGAGAUCAGGGCCACGUUGGUUGACCAUGUGCUCAACCAUGGAUUAAGUAUGAGGGAGACUGGGCAUAGUUCAGCCCAACCUGAGCCGCUACAUGGUUGCAUCUAUCAUCCGUACAUCCAGAAAUGAGAACUGGUAUUUACCUACGAUCUACACUAGGCUCUUUAUAACUGAGAGACGGCCAGGUCAUGGUGGAAGACACCGGCUGUUCACACCAGAACAGCAGACUGCCAUUGUGAACAUGGUGGUGGCAAACAACACCAUUAGACUAUGAUAAAUCCAGAACCACAUAAUUGCAGACAAACACAAUAUUCAAUAACAUUCAGCAGGUGGGCUUGUCUACAUUGGACCGUGUAUUACAGCGCAACCGAAUCUGGAUGAAACGGGUCUACAGGGUGCCAUUUGAGCAAAAGUCGGAGGGUUAAAGAACAGCGCUAUGAACAUGUGCAAAGAGUCUUGGAGCUGGAUGCCACUGCAUCAGCAUUUUUAUAUUUACUUUGAGGCUUGCUUCAACCUAGCCAAAAAAAGGGGAAAAGGGGAUGGAACAUUAUUGGCCACCAUGCCAUUGUGAAUAUCCCUGGACAGCGUGGAGGGAAUUUCACCAUGUGCGCAGCCGUUGGCCAGCAAGGCGUCCUCCAUCGCCAAGCAAACCAUGGUCCCUACAACACCGCCUUUCUCAUCACAUUCCUGGACACACUACAUGGCAUCCUCAUUCUAGCCGAGCAGAGGGGUGGACCAGUGCAGCCCAGGUAUGUUGUCAUCUGGGACAAUGUGAGUUUCCACCGGGCUGCUCUGGUCCGCAACUGGUUCAUCGACCACCCACAAGUUAUUGUUCUAUACCUCCCAUCAUAUUCCCUAUUCCUAAACACAAUUGAAGAGUUUAUUUCCCGGCAUGGCGAUGGAAGGUGUAUGACCGACAUCCCCUCGCACGCACGCUUCUUCUCCAGGCAAUGGUGGAUGCAUGUGUUGAAGUUGAUGUGGGGACUUUCGGCGGCUGGAGCCGUCACUCCAGGAGAUUCCUUCCAAGCUGUUUAGCCAGGGAGAAACAUUGCUUGUGAUGUAAAUGAGGUGCUGUGGCCAGACCAAACUAGGAGGCAGGAUGCAGCCUAAUGUGUUUUUUACUUACAUUUUGCAUUUGUUUUUGUCUGUGUUUUGAAAGAAUGAGCCACUUUUUUAAAAUUAAUUUUUGUACAGAAAACACUAUCUUACUGAAUGUUUUCUCUUGUUAGGUAUGGAAAGUGUUAGAUACAAAACACAGCAUUUUGGAAAUGUUUUUGUUACUGUAUUGCAUUUGUGUGUUUAUGUAUAUUUGAGAAGAUUACUGUAAUCUUUUACAACUGGCUACAGUGUAACACUGAAAAGGCAUAAACCUACUGAUGGGAAAUUCAUAGUAGUGUUGUGUUGAGCACAUCAGUGUUGGUUGGUAGACAGAUCUAUUCAUAUGAUGCCUGUUUGUCAUUUUGCUGCAAAAAAAAAACACAUUAUAGAAAGAGAAUAGUUUUGAAUGCAGUGUUUAUUUUUGCUAGAGAUUCAUAGAGUUUUGGGGAAAUGGGCCAAAGAUUCAGCAAACGUGUGUAAACAAUUGUGGAACACUGUAAAUCUACUUAAGUAUCAAAAUGUCAAAUUCCUUAUAGCAAGCAAAUCCAGAUGGCUCCAUUUUCUUUUUUAUUUAAUGAAAGCUAGGGGCACACUUGGACAUAAUUUACCAACGACACAUGUGUGUUGCAUCAGUCCGCCAGAUCAGAGGCAAUAUGGAUGACCAGGGGUGUUCUCUUAAUAAGCGUGUGAAUUGGAC